rnacentral:rRNA from 1 species
UACGAAGGGGGCUAGCGUUGCUCGGAAUCACUGGGCGUAAAGGGUGCGUAGGCGGGUCUUUAAGUCAGGGGUGAAAUCCUGGAGCUCAACUCCAGAACUGCCUUUGAUACUGAAGAUCUUGAGUUCGGGAGAGGUGAGUGGAACUGCGAGUGUAGAGGUGAAAUUCGUAGAUAUUCGCAAGAACACCAGUGGCGAAGGCGGCUCACUGGCCCGAUACUGACGCUGAGGCACGAAAGCGUGGGGAGCAAACAGGGAUUAGAAUCACC